rnacentral:rRNA from 1 species
CAGUAGCCACGGUAAUACGUAGGGUGCAAGCGUUAAUCGGAAUUACUGGGCGUAAAGCGUGCGCAGGCGGUUAUAUAAGACAGAUGUGAAAUCCCCGGGCUCAACCUGGGAACUGCAUUUGUGACUGUAUAGCUAGAGUACGGCAGAGGGGGAUGGAAUUCCGCGUGUAGCAGUGAAAUGCGUAGAUAUGCGGAGGAACACCGAUGGCGAAGGCAAUCCCCUGGGCCUGUACUGACGCUCAUGCACGAAAGCGUGGGGAGAAAACAGGAUUAGAUACCCCUGUAGUCCCUGUCUCUUAUAC